rnacentral:rRNA from 1 species
CCUACGGGAGGCAGCAGUGAGGAAUAUUGGUCAAUGGGCGCGAGUCUGACCCAGCCAUGUCGCGUGCAGGAAGACGGCUUUAUGGUUCGUAAACUUCUUUUGCAGGGGAAUAAACCGCAGUACGUGUCCUGUGCUGUAGGUACCUUGAGAAUAAGCAUCGGCUAACUCCGUGCCAGCAGCCGCGGUAAUACGGAGGAUCCGAGCGUUAUCCGGAUUUAUUGGGUUUAAAGGGUGCGUAGGCGGUUUAAUAAGUCAGCGGUGAAAUUUUGCAGCUCAACCGUAAAAAUGCCGUUGAUACUGUCGGUCUUGAGUGUAAAUGAGGUGGGCGGAAUGUGUGGUGUAGCGGUGAAAUGCAUAGAUAUCACGCAGAACUCCGAUUGCGAAGGCAGCUCACUAAGUUACAACUGACGCUGAAGCAC